rnacentral:misc_RNA from 1 species
GUCGUAGUCGCGCUCCAGCUGCUUUGUCUUCCAACGGGCGCGGCGGUUCUGAAACCAAACCGCCACCUGCCGCGGCUGGAGUCCCAGCUUGCGUGCCAGCUCGCUCUUCCGAUCCGGCUCCAGCUUGUUCUCCGACUCGAAACUCAGCUCCAGCAAGUGCACCUGCUCGGGAGUGAGGCGGCGCUUCUUCUCCGGCGUCUGCUCAUCGUAAUAUUCCUCCUCCAUCAAAUCAUCGGCCAUCGUAAAAAACGGCCGCCGCUUAUUCCCUCCGUCCUCCACCCCCAGCAGCGAUCUCGACCCUUGAAAGAUCGAGCUCCUGCCGCCGAGCAAAAGCAUGUGUCCGCCGCCACGGUGGCGCGAGGGCGACGAAUCAAAGAUCAGCCGGCCGGAAUCCAUGAAACUCGGAGCGAUCGUGAACCGAUAUAGAUCUCGACUCUCCCCUACUAUAGAAAUCGAUACUGAAUCGUAAAUUUGUAUAUAUGAAUCUAUAGAUAGAUCGAUGAAUGGGAAGAGAUCUCUAUCAGAAGAAGA